CUCUAGAUGUAACUCUAUCAUACUAUCACCCUUGGGAAUUGAUGCCUCCAUCAUUUCACAAUCACUUAUCUUCAAUUUUCGUAAAGAAGGAAGGUGUUGAGGCAGGGGGGCCCUUUUCAAUUUGGAACAAUUUUCUAUAGAAACCUCUUUAAGCAAAGGAGAUCCUUCAAGACAUAAACAUUCCUCCAACUUGUUGCAAUCACUUAUCUCCAAUUUUUGUAAAGAAGGAAGGUGUUGAGGCGGAAUCCUUUUCAAUUCUGAACAUCUUUUUAUAGAAACAUUUUCAAGUAAAGGAGAUCCUUCAAGACAUAAACAUUCCUCCAACUUGUUGCAAUCACUUAUCUUCAAAUUUUGUAAAGAAGGAAGGUGUUGAGGCGGAAUCCUUUUCAAUUCUGGACAUUCUCUUAUAUAAAGCUCUUUAAGCAAAGGAAACCCUUCAAGACAUGACAAUUCCUCCCAAUUGUCCAUCCGAUAAAAUUCCAAAACUUCAAGGGACCUGAACGAAAGACUUGUUGAAUUACUGUCGUAAAACUCUUCGCCGAUGAUCUUUAUUCCAUCACAAUGUGAA
rnacentral:lncRNA from 1 species